AUUGAACGCUGGCGGAAUGCUUAACACAUGCAAGUCGAACGGCAGCACGGGGGCAACUCUGGUGGCGAGUGGCGAACGGGUGAGUAAUACAUCGGAACGUGCCCGGUCGUGGGGGAUAACGUAGCGAAAGGUACGCUAAUACCGCAUACGAUCUGAGGAUGAAAGCGGGGGACCUUCGGACCUCGCGCGAUCGGAUCGGCCGAGGUCGGAUUAGCUAGUUGGUGGGGUAAAGGCCUACCAAGCCGACGAUCCGUAGCUGGUCUGAGAGGACGACCAGCCACACUGGGACUGAGACACGGUCCAGACUCCUACGGGAGGCAGCAGUGGGGAAUUUUGGACAAUGGGCGCAAGCCUGAUCCAGCCAUGCCGCGUGCAGGACGAAGGCCUUCGGGUUGUAAACUGCUUUUGUAUGGAAGGAAGAGGCUCUGGCUAAUACCUGGGGGUCAUGACGGUACCGUAAGAAUAAGCACCGGCUAACUACGUG
rnacentral:rRNA from 1 species